AACGAACGCUGGCGGCAGGCUUAACACAUGCAAGUCGAACGGAUCCUUCGGGAUUAGUGGCAGACGGGUGAGUAACGCGUGGGAACGUACCCUUUGCUACGGAAUAACUCAGGGAAACUUGAGCUAAUACCGUAUGUGCCCUACGGGGGAAAGAUUUAUCGGCAAAGGAUCGGCCCGCGUUGGAUUAGCUAGUUGGUGGGGUAAUGGCCUACCAAGGCGACGAUCCAUAGCUGGUCUGAGAGGAUGAUCAGCCACACUGGGACUGAGACACGGCCCAGACUCCUACGGGAGGCAGCAGUGGGGAAUAUUGGACAAUGGGCGCAAGCCUGAUCCAGCCAUGCCGCGUGAGUGAUGAAGGUUUUAGGAUUGUAAAGCUCUUUCACCGGUGAAGAUAAUGACGGUAGCCGGAGAAGAAGCCCCGGCUAACUUCGUG
rnacentral:rRNA from 1 species